AACGAACGCUGGCGGCGUGCUUAAGACAUGCAAGUCGAGCGAGAAAGCCACCUUCGGGUGGUGAGUAAAGCGGCGCACGGGUGAGUAACGCGUGGAUAAUCUACCUGUAGGCCUGGGAUAACUCCGGGAAACUGGAGCUAAUACCGGAUAAGACCACGGGGUCUUUGGAUUCUGCGGAAAAAGGUGGCCUCUUCUUGAAAGCUACCGCCUAUCGAUGAGUCCGCGUCCCAUUAGCUUGUUGGUGAGGUAAAGGCUCACCAAGGCUUCGAUGGGUAGCUGGUCUGAGAGGAUGAUCAGCCACACUGGAACUGAGACACGGUCCAGACUCCUGCGGGAGGCAGCAGUCGGGAAUUUUGGGCAAUGGGGGAAACCCUGACCCAGCAACGCCGCGUGAGGGAUGAAGGCCCUCGGGUCGUAAACCUCUGUCGGAAGGGAAGAAAGGUCUCCGUUCAAAUAGAGCGGGGGCUUGACGGUACCUUCAAAGGAAGCACCGGCUAACUCCGUG
rnacentral:rRNA from 1 species